rnacentral:rRNA from 1 species
UGAACGCUGGCGGCGUGCUUACCACAUGCAAGUCGACCGGAACUACUCCAAUGAGAGUCUUCGGAAAGGAUUUGGUUUAGUUUAGUGGCGGACGGGUGAGUAACGCGUGGGUAACCUGCCCUAUACAGGGGGAUAACAGUUGGAAACGACUGUUAAUACCGCAUAAGCGCACAGGAGCGCAUGCUCCGGUGUGAAAAACUCCGGUGGUAUAGGAUGGACCCGCGUCUGAUUAGCUGGUUGGCGGGGUAACGGCCCACCAAGGCGACGAUCAGUAGCCGGCCUGAGAGGGUGAACGGCCACAGUGGGACUGAGACACGGCCCAAACUCCUACGGGAGGCAGCAGUGGGGAAUAUUGCACAAUGGGGGAAACCCUGAUGCAGCGACGCCGCGUGAGCGAAGAAGUAUCUCGGUAUGUAAAGCUCUAUCAGCAGGGAAGAAAAUGACGGUACCUGACGAAGAAGCCCCGGCUAACUACGUG